ACUUGAGCAUCGCUGCUGUCACAUUUUCACCAGAGCAAUCUUACGAGGAUUUGGGAUAUUAUGUACAAAUAAUUGAAGAUAUGAAGACGGCAGUGGUCUCUUUAUUUAUCAGUCUUUUUAUUCUGGUGGCAGUUGUUGAAUGGAAAUCAAAACAGAAACCGCAACAAAGUAAAGAUCCCUUAACUUCAUCAAAUAAUAUAUUGAUAAAAGGUGAUGACUAUACCCCCUCAUUACCUAAAAUGUUAUGGGAGAAGAGUAAGGAUACUGGUCAGAAAAGCAGAAAACAUCGAGAAAUUGUUUCAGAGUGGGAUAAUGGGAAUCGCUUACAGACAGAAGAGAUAAUGCAUGAAAACAUAGAGACAAACCUAUAUAACAAAGCACACAAAAUAAAA